rnacentral:rRNA from 1 species
CUACGUGCCAGCAGCCGCGGUAAUACGGAGGAUGCGAGCGUUAUCCGGAUUUAUUGGGUUUAAAGGGUGCGUAGGCGGUUUGUUAAGUCAGCGGUGAAAUCUAGAGGCUCAACCUCGAAACUGCCGUUGAAACUGGCGAACUUGAGUGUAGAUGAGGUAGGCGGAAUUCGUGGUGUAGCGGUGAAAUGCAUAGAUAUCACGAGGAACUCCGAUUGCGAAGGCAGCUUACUAAGGUACAACUGACGCUGAAGCACGAAAGCGUGGGUAUCAAACAGGAUUAGAUACCCUGGUAGUCCACGCAGUAAACGAUGAUAACUGGGCGUAUGCGAUAUACAGUAUGCCCCUAAGCGAAAGCGUUAAGUUAUCCACCUGGGGAGUACGCCGGCAACGGUGAAACUCAAAGGAAUUGACGGGGGCCCGCACAAGCGGAGGAACAUGUGGUUUAAUUCGAUGAUACGCGAGGAACCUUACCCGGGAUUGAA